rnacentral:rRNA from 1 species
GCCAGACUCCUACGGGAGGCAGCAGUGGGGGAUAUUGCACAAUGGGGGAAACCCUGAUGCAGCGACGCCGCGUGAGUGAAGAAGUAUUUCGGUAUGUAAAGCUCUAUCAGCAGGGAAGAAAAAAGACGGUACCUGACUAAGAAGCCCCGGCUAACUACGUGCCAGCAGCCGCGGUAAUACGUAGGGGGCAAGCGUUAUCCGGAUUUACUGGGUGUAAAGGGAGCGUAGACGGUUAUGUAAGUCUGGAGUGAAAGCCCGGGGCCCAACCCCGGAACUGCUUUGGAAACUGUGCGGCUGGAGUGCAGGAGGGGUAAGCGGAAUUCCUAGUGUAGCGGUGAAAUGCGUAGAUAUUAGGAGGAACACCGGUGGCGAAGGCGGCUUACUGGACUGUAACUGACGUUGAGGCUCGAAAGCGUGGGGAGCAAACAGGAUUAGAUACCCCCGUA